rnacentral:pre_miRNA from 1 species
GAUUUCAUUUGAAAAAGUCAUCAACAAUAAAGUUGUAUAUCUCAUUAAGAUCUAUAAUUUUUAUUUUGAUCAUUUCUUCAUCCGACAAAGUUAUAGUAAUAUUAUUCAUAAAAUUUAUAUUUCUCUCAUAUGGUUUUAUAGACUGUAAAACAGAUAUGAAAAUUUUGUAAACAAUGUUACUAUCACUUUGUCAAAUGAAAAAAUGAUCAAAAUAAAAGUUGUAUGUUUUGAUGAGUUCUACAACUUUUAUGUUCAUGACUUUUUCAACUGAAAUU